AUUUGUCUGGUUAAUUCCGUUAACGAACGAGACCUCGGCCUACUAAAUAGUGCGUGGUAUGGCAACAUAGUACGUUUUAACUUCUUAGAGGGACAUGUCCGGUUUACGGGCAGGAAGUUCGUGGCAAUAACAGGUCUGUGAUGCCCUUAGAUGUUCUGGGCCGCACGCGCGCUACACUGACGACUUCAACAAGUUUUUUAGCUUUGCUAAAUUUCCUUGGCCGGAAGGUCUGGGUAAUCUUUUAAAAGGUCGUCGUGAUGGGGCUAGAUUCUUGCAAUUAUUAAUCUCCAACGAGGAACC
rnacentral:rRNA from 1 species